CGCGGAUUGGCCGGAGGAGGAGGGGCCCGCCAGGGCGCACGCGCGGCUCCGCCUCCGCGCCCCGACCGACGCCAUUGUCCGCCCAGAGACGCGGCGGUGCGCACGCGCGGGGGAUAGGCGCACGCGCAGAAGCGCCUCCCCGCCAAACCUGCUCGACGGACUGACGGCGCACGCGCAAAAUUAACAUCGCCGUGCUGACUGCGCACGCGCAGAAUCACCUCCCCGACGGGCCUGACUGCGCACGCGUCAAUAACCUCCUCUCCUCCUCACCUAGAGGGACUGGCUGAGCAAUAUCAAGUCCCCGCCGGGCUCACUGCGCACGCGCAGAAACACCGCGAGACGGCCCGACAGCGCACGCGCGACCGCUUAACUGACAGGCCGGCGGAGCGGGCCGUUCUGCGCACGCGCGGACACUUCCACGUACUUCUGGGCCGCUUCGGGACGAAACAACUGUCGAAACGACGGAGAACGUGAGGGGGAAACCGAACCGCCGUUUUUUGAGAAAUUUAGCGUGGCGGCGGCGCCGGGCGAAGCUACUAGGCCCGGUUUCGCAGUUCCGACCCCCCCGGGGGGAAAUGGUCUCUCCCGAAAUGGGCCGCCUUUUCCCAUAGGCCACGCCCCUCUUUACAUAUUCAGCGACCCGCCCCCUCAUGAAUAUGAACAAGCGCCAUUCAGAUGGGAGUUGAAGGAUUCAUUAUUGCCGCGUCAUUAUUGAUUGUUAUGAUCUUGGGAACAAAGUCAUGAGACCUUGUUUUGUUUUUUUAUAAUAUAUGUGUGUGUGUGUCUGUAAUAUAUAUAUAUAUAAAAUAAUAAUAAAAUUUUAUAUCCCGCCCUCCGCAGCCAAAGCAGGACUCAGAGCGGCUAACAACAGUAAAGCAAUACAGCAUUCUAAAAUCAGUUCAUUCUAAAAUCAAAUUAAUGGCAACCAUUGGGCUAGAGUUCUGUGAGGAUUGCCAAAGGAGGGGGUCAGGCUAUGCCUUGGCCAAAGGCCCGGCGGAACAGCUCUGUCUUGCAGGCCCUGCGGAAAGAUGUCAAGUCCCGCAGGGCCCUAGUCUCUUGUGACAGAGCGUUCCACCAGGUCGGGGCCAUGGCCGAAAAAGCCCUGGCUCUGGUGGAGGCCAGCCUAAACUCCCUGUGGCCCGAGACCUCCAAGAUGUUUUUGUUUGAGGACCACGGGACGUACCAGGAGAGGCGGUCCCAUAGGUACGAGGGUCCUAGGCCGUAUAGGGCUUUGAAGGUUAAAACAAGCACCUUGAACCUGAUCCUGUCCUCCACCGGGAGCCAGUGCAGCUGGUAUAGCACUUCUUGCUUCCCCAAGGGGGUCCUAGCCAUAGCUGUCAACCUUCCCUUUUUCUGUUUUUUUUUUGCAGGAAAUUCCCUUCUUCCAGCGCCGUUUCCCGCUGCGUUCCGCUGCUAUCCCAGAUUGUUGUCCCCGGGACAGGUGAGGCUGUAGAUCCCUUCUUUUCAAAUCAGAAAGUUGACAGCUAUGGUCCUAGCCUGUCAACCUUAUAAUAAUAAUGAUUUAUUAUAUAUACCCCGCCCAUCUGACUGGGUUUCCCCAGCCACUCUGGGCGGCUUCCCAAAAAACACUGAAAUACAAUGGUCUGUUAAACAUUAAAAGCUUCCCUAAACAGGGCUGCCUUCAGAUGCCUUCUAAAAGUCUGGUAGUUGUUGUUCUCUUUGACAUCUGGUGGGAGGGCGUUCCACAGGGCAGGCGCCACUACCGAGAAGGCCCUCUGCCUGGUUCCCUGUAAUUUGGCUUCUCGCAGGAACCGCCAGAAGGCCCUCAGAGCUGGACCUCAGUGUCUGGGCAGAAUGAUGGGGGUGGAGACGCUCCUUCAGAUAUACUGGACCAAGGCCGUUUAGGGCUUUAAAGGUCAGCACCAACACUUUGAAUUGUGCUCGGAAACGUACUGGGAGCCAAUGUAGGUCUUUCAAGACCGGUGUUAUGUGGUCUCGGUGACCGCUCCCAGUCUCCAGUCUAGCGGCCACAUUCUGGAUUAGUUGUAGUUUCCGGGUCACCUUCAAAGGUAGCCCCACAUAGAGCGCAUUGCAGUAGUCCAAGCGAGAGAUAACUAGAGCAUGCACCACUCUGGCAAGACAGUCCGCGGGAGGGAGGGUCUCAGCCUGCGUACCAGAUGGAGCUGGCAAACAGCUGCCCUGGACACAGAAUUGACCUGUGCCUCCAUGAACAGCUGUGAGCCAGUGUGGUGUAGUGGUUAGAGCGGUGGACUCGUAAUCUGGUGAACCGGGUUCAAUUCCCUGCUCCUCCACAUGCAGCUGCUGGGUGACCUUGCGCUAGUCACACUUCUUUAAGUCUCUCAGCCCCACUCACCUCACAGAGUGUUUGUUGUGGGGGAGGAAGGGAAAGGAGAAUGUUAGCCGCUUUGAGACUCCUUAGGGUAGUGAUAAAGCGGGGUAUCAAAUCCAAACUCUUCUUCUUAUUUAUCCUUUGAAAACAACAUUCCUAGGUUGAAACAUUUCUCACCUUAAAAAAAACACACACAAAAACCCCACCAGCUUCAGUUUUUUCUUCUGUUCCCAUUUUUACUUUGUUAGUGUUUUCUCUUCAGGUUGACUGUCACCUUUGAUCCUUCUUCAGUUUGCCUGGUGUAGCUUUCUCCAGAAGCCACAGAAGCAAGGGGAAAGAGCAGGGCUAAGUACCCUUUGGAGUGUCGCGCAACGGUAAAUUAACCACACAGAGUCUUCUUCAUAAACAGAAUAAAAUUUUACUGAAGAAAAUAAACUUGUUCAGAAACAGCAUAGUCAAAGAGCAUACACAGAG